CAACUCAUCUUUUCAUGUACCCUUUAGAAAACGUAGAGGAGAGAAACAUCCAAUAGGGAGAAAAGGCUUGUAUAGAAACACGCUAUCCCGUUCUCAACUCUCGCUCUCUCCCCCAAAAUUCUAAAAAAUCCCAUCGGACAUCCCUCAUCAGCUGACCAUUUGCUGAGAGUCUAAUGAUCAUCAUUUAAUCAAAGAAAUACGCAAAAUUGUUUCUUUAGACAGAUACCCAAUUGAAGCCUCUUUUGUUUUAUCAGAAUUGAAUAUUUCUUUCGGGUGAAUUUUUAGUAAAAGUUAUGUCACAUUGGUUUUGAGGAAUCUUGUGCCCCUAUUACCUGUAAACUUCAUUUCUGAAUUUUUGUUGUUGCUCGAUCUGUUGAUGAUCAUAAUGUACAGAUUGACUUGCCAAAUAUUCUGGCUUGAUGCUUAGAGUUGAAUGGUCAGCAAAUAAUUUAAGUGGAUUAGAUCUUCACUUCUGCUUAGUUAGGGCACUACAGAAUUAAGUGGUGCCUAUGGAUGCUACUACUGGUGAAACUUCAAGCGGUCAAUACCAUAACAUUCCCGAGGAAGAAAUAGCUUCACUUGUCACCUCUCCCGUGGCAACAUUUUCAAGGCAACGU